UGCAGUGAUAGGCGACAGGUCAGAAAAGCAUUUCAGAAUAAUUUUACACCUUUUAACCUUAAAAAAUACUUUGCUGACAAUUGAGAAAGGGCCUUAAAAGAAGCGCUGAUAGGCAUUCUCACAGCAGGGUUGCCAUGUCCCAUCACAUAGCAGAGGGUUUCUGCAUAAUGUAUCCUGUAAUAAGAAGUGUACUGCAAAUCACCGGGCUUGAGUAGCAGUUUUAAGAAAGUAAUCCUUGGCAUGAACUGCUAUUAGUGAUGACACUGAAAGUUUGUUACGUAAAACUCUUUAGAAGACACAAAGAAGGCAAACUGUUUAAAAUUUAGAUUCGAGCCUUAAAAGAACUACUUUGUCAUAGAAAUUUAUCUGCAUUUAAAUAUAUAUUUAGUGUGCUCUGUUUUGUUUUUUGGUGGGUUUUUUUUUCAUUUUUGCUUAUGCUUGGACAGACUCGUUAAACAGAAACCACAGAAUUUUGUUAAAUGAAUGUCACUUUUCUCUCAUUCCAUGACACAAAUGGUAAUUGUUCCAAAAGCAUCUUAAUAAUUACUGGUGUUAAUUAUGAAUGUUAAUACAGUCAAUGAUCACUCAGAGUCCCCAUGUUGAAAACCCUUUAUAAAUGAAGUAAAAACUUUUAAAAAAACCCCAAAAAACAUUUAAAAUUCCAGUAUAACAAAGACUAAAUCAGUCCAUCAAAGCACAGCAAGCUAUAUUCAUGUUUUAAUGGCUAGACUAAUCAAAAUGGGAUAUGAAUCUACAAGAAACCUUCUUGUUGAAAUUAAUUUUGUAUUUGUCUGGAAAUGUAAAUAAAAGAAAAUGCGAAGGGGCCAUUUCCAGGCAAGUUCUUUUCAGUGUUAAUGAUGCAAAUCAGUGAAGUUUCUCAGUCCCUGGGGAAUCUUUUUGUCUUUCUCAUUUCCAUAAGAAUGAUUUUUAGAUGAUUAAAAUAAAAAUCUAAUGGAAAAAAAUUCUUUAUACUUUUCUCACAAUACAGUUUAGUAGGUAUCUGGAAAAAAAUAACAAAAAAGAAAAAAACACCAACAAAAUUAGCUGGAAUUGACUUUACAAUUAUAAUAAACCUUCCUAGGAGAGUAUUGGUCACAAAAUGUUUUUGCAUUUCUAAUGGAGACAUUUUUGGUUGUCUUUAGAAGUAUUUGAUAGAAGUUGAAGUCCUCUGAAAGCGUGAUGUUUCAAUGUAACUCCAAAAUUUUCUCAGCAGCUACUAAGGGGUAAUGAAACGUUUCAUUGUUUUGUUUUCUAAGUGAGCAGUAUGAGAAACAGGCAGAGACAUAAUAAUUAAAAUUUUGGCUUUCUGUAUUUUUGGCAAAUAUUUUUUUUUUCAGAGCUAGAUUGUUCCUGAAGAUCAAGGACUGUAUUGAUAGUGCCAUACUGGAGAAGCAUUGAUGAUUUUAAUCUGCUUUUAAUCCCAUCCUUCCUCCAGAAAGAAACUACCUGCGUGACUCAAUAAAAAGCUGCUAUUAAACCAUGGCUUUGCUAUAAGGCAAGAUACACCCCACAGUGGUUCAGUGGAUUGGUUUUACUUUCCCUCUUCGUCCAGGGAACAGGAAAUGGCAAAAAAUGAAGGUUGUCAUAGUCUGUGUUAGCCCCAUGUCCAGCACAGCCAACACCUCUCUCCCUUCCAUGACCAUGGCCACGUUCCCGGUUUAAUGGGUGAAUAUAGGACUAAAUAAUGCUCUGCUAUCCUGACCCACUCUGCACAGAGAGAGCAGCAGCAUCCCAGGCUCUGCUGGCACACACACAGAGGAACAAGUGUGUGCACUGAAACGUGUACAUGUGCACACCUCCUUGUGCAACAGGAGCAGGGACAGCCUGCAGGGCACAUGAGCGAGCCCUGGCCCUGCUGAUGCCCUCCAGCAGGCAGCACAGCUCUCCCCCACACUGGCAGGAGAAGGCAGGUGGCAGGAGUAACCCUGGAGAGAGCUCAGAGCAGGAACUGCUGCUGGGCUGCACAUCCAGGAGCAGAGAAGAUGACACAAGAGAUUGUAAGAUUAUAUUCUUAUUUGCAGGCAGUGCUCAGCCAAACUAGUGUCCUCAAUGUUCACUAGUUGUUGUAAAUUGCCCAGGCCCGAGCAAAAAAGCAAGACAGUGUUUUUAGUUUGCUCAGACAGGAUGUCCAGUGAGAGAAGAGCAGAGAUGCAGGAAGCUGCUUUGCACAGGCAGGGAACCCCACUGUGGAUUCCAGGCUGCAAGGAGGCUGCAAGCAGGAGACACAACAAGGAACCAAUUCUCUGUGCUAUUCCCAACCAAUGCACUCUUGUGGAAUAGGGAGAGUCAGUAGGGAGCUGCAGCCCUCCAGGAAAUUCACAUAGAAAUGGAGUUGGAGAUUACUGUCGUUUAGGACUGGAUUGCUUCCCACUAGGUUUCCUCUUCAGUUGCUAAUGAGCCACCAAGGAGAAUCAAGUUGUUCUCAGGACUGCUUGGGUCUUGGUUUUGGGUUUGAGUUGUGGAGGAAAGAACAGAGCUCUUGGGCCGGCUAUGGGAUCAGAUGGUACAGGGGACAACUGUUCAGGGAAAAUACACUGGUGUCUGAUGCCUCCAUGACUCUGGGAGGAGAUUUCCUUCUUAAUCACUCUCCAUAGCUCCUGGCUGAAGACUUCCUCUCCUGCUCCAGCCUUCCCCAGCCCUGAAAGGUGUCUCCCCCAGCUCCAAAUGGGGAGACUUAUGAAAUGUUCCUGGCUGUGGUGAAGUCAGAGGAUGCUCAAGCUCCAUUAUUCAACAGACAGUAGUCAAAAGCCACAAAACCUGAAAUGGGGUCUAAAAUCUCAAAAUGAACAAAACCAGAAUUAAUACUUUAUAAUGAUUUUUAAACAACAAUACUUGGAAGUACGUUUCAACAUUGACUUAUUAAUUGUUUGCUAUCUGAUGUUAAUAUUGGAAAGGUGACUUUUCAAGCUAUUCUCCAGACCCUGAGGAUGUAUAUUUUCUCUUUUCCUUAACAUGGAGAGAACACAAAAGCCCAAAGUUUAAAAAGAAAUACACUAUACUUCAUGAGAUCAUGAUAUAUGACCACACUACCGCUCCAUAAGUUUAAUGCUGUUCUUGCUCCAUCUGUUUGGGUGAGGCAAGGAACAAAUUCCAGGAAAGCUCUUUGAAGUCUUUAAGGGAAGAAACUCCUUUCCAUCUGCCACUCCUCCUCACAGUGGAGUCCUGAGCCUUAUGCCUUGCCUCUACAUCCACACAAACCCCUAAACAGCCCACACUACGUGCCAUAACCAGCAAGGUGAGAGGGAGGGUCAAAGUGAAGUGCUCCUCAAGGCACCUUCCCCUGACUACCCUGGAGUCAGCCCUGCCUGCCUGUGCAAAAUCCUUUGCUCAGCCCCCUUGUCACCAAAGGCUAAAACAUUUAUUCUAAAAAAAAAUAAAUACACACAAUUUUAAAUGUAGGACAUGGCCAGUGCUUUAUACAAUCCUUUACAGACACCCACUGCCCAGUGCAUUUGCCUGAGGUUUAUGAGGCUCUAGUCCCACCCCUUUGUGGAAGGAUGUUUUCUCCUAUUCCCAGAGUGUGCUUGCUGCCUGGCUAGGAGCUUGCUUGCUGGAGCAUUGCCACAGAACAUCCAGUCAUUUGCUUUCAGUGGCAUGCCAAAGAGAAGGAACAUGACCCUGUAGCCUAAGGACUGAGUGCAGAUACUUGGAAUUUUCUUACGUUGGAAAGAAAGAUCUGAGAGGUAAAAUCAGCCUUGUCCCAACCUUUCCCUCUGAGCACAUGCAACUGUAUAGAGAUUGGGCACUUCUUCAGUGAGAUACGAGUUUGAUUUCUCUCAGGCAGAGAAAAAAUUGCACCUAAAUCUGCAAUUUCCUAAGGAAAUAGAAGAGCAUUGUGGAUACUGGACAGACACUGAUGCUACAUAUUAUAGGGAUCCUGGUCUGGCACAUCAGGUAGGCACAACUUGCUCAGCUUGCUAAGACCUUUGCUGGUUGUAAUCUAAACUCUUCCCUGGGCUUGGAGGGUGUUAUCUGGAAGGGGCUGUAGCUGGUAGCUUGUGAGCUGUUCCAUUUGGUCCAGGCCUCCCCCUGCCUGUUGCCAAGAGACACUUUGCAAUGUGCAUCCUGCAGCCUCCCCUCACCAGUUAGGUACAACUCCAGUGUGUUCCCCUCUUUGUCCUCAAAAUGUAGCGUUAUGGAUUGCAGCCUUGUAGAUGCCAGGCAGGGAUGAGCCUGUUCUGGGAAAUAGGUCCAGCAGACCUGCAGAAAGUGUAACUGGAUACUACACAGCUGACAUGAACUGAUGUGGAAAUGCUGUCAGCUCAUCCAGUCAGAAACCUGUUUGAGGCUGUGCCAUCUGCACACUCCACUGGCUGCUCCCAGCCGGUGCCCGCUGCUGCUCAGGGCUGGAGACAGGACUGCUGCUCCUGGAGCCUCAGAGCUGUUCCUUUCCCUUGGCAGUAACUUCCUGCACAGUCCUGUGGUGUGGGCUGGCUGGGGCUGAACAGGGUGAUGUCAAGCUGGGGUGAGCUUUCCAACCUGCAGGUUGUGUGAGUACAUGUUGCUCAAGAGAUGAAGAUGCUCAUGGUGGCUGCUCUGUCCAUUCAUUCAUUUAUUUGUGCUAGUUUUUCAGGAAAUAUCCCUGCAUCUUGAACAGGUUCUUUGUCUGGUGAGCCACAGAAAAGGCAAAAUGAGGUCCUGUAAGAAAAGAGAUCUGGCUGCAAUGCUUUUUUUUCUUCCCUUACCCUUUUCUUCUAGACUGGAUCAAUAAUUUCCUCAUGUGAAUCCCAGGAAUAUCUGCAAAGUAAGUUAAAGGAGGGGUUGUUUUCCUGACCACUCCACUUGGAACAGAAAAACAAGUGGUCUGGCAUCUUUCAGAGUAAAAUGGAAGAAUCCUGAAAACACUAAUGUUUUCAUGGAGCUAGACAGCCUCCAAGUAGGAAUUACAAUUAUGAAUUUAGACAUCUUGAAAUGCCUUUAUGCUGUUUCAGAAGCCUAAAUCCACCUGACUGUGUUGGGGUGUGUCUAUGAUCCACUUGAGGAGAACUUCAAGGCACAGAGAUAGUGAAUUCUUACCAGACUUUAUAAUAUCACAAGAAUGAAAUUGAAAUUGCGCACCCACUGAAAUGGUUUUUAAUUAUCCUGUCAUGGUGUUGGGAAGAUCCUCUGUAAGUUUUCUGGAACCAUGCUUUCAGGAUGAGACCUGCACAAGUUAUAUCCCUCAGAGAAGUGAUAUGAGAUGGGAUAGCACUGGUGCAGGUGUAAUAGGAGAGCUUUAGAAGUGUUAGAGAAGUUCAGAAGUGUGAAUUUUCUUCACUAAGAGGGUAAAUCAGUCAGGAUAAUGAAUCCUGUUACAAUUAAUUAAUUAGUGCAUUCAUUGGGAAGGACUAUGAAAAGUCUAGCUACUUAUCCUAGAAGACAGGCUGAAGCCAAUACUAAAUUUACAUUUCAGUAAAUAUCCCAGAGGAUGUGAACAGGAAGACCAACCUGUUUCACAUUUGCAGAAAAGUGUAGCUCUGUUGCUGUUCCACUGCUCUCAGUGGGAGACGAAUUCUCCCCAAAAGAGGAAUUCUCAAGAGGAAGCUUGAGGAAGCAAUAUCGCCCUACCACACUUUUUCAUGGAGGAGAUUGGAAAUGCAUCAUACUUCUGCAAAGGUUCUAACAAGCAGUUUUGACGUGCUCCCCAAGGCAAAAUGUAGCCACUGAAUAAGCUGUGUUAGGGUUCUAGGAAUUCAGGUUUUAAACUCCUAAGAAAUCUUCCUGCAUCACCGAUGCAUUUCACUUUGGUUUUUUUUGGGUUUUUUUUGUCCCGGAGAGUGGCACCUCAAACCGCACAGAAAUCCACCCAACUCCCAGUCUUAAAAUCCGCGCUCGCCUUAGGUCCGCAGCUCAUGAAAAAGUUGUCCUGGGAAAGAUGCGUCCCCUCCCCUCCUCCUCCUCCUCCCUGCAGCAGGAGCCAUUGUCUGCCGGCGGCAAGGCAUAAAGGAGUUAACGAAGGAGCCGGCGAGGAGUUUUACCAAGUCCACCGAAGUCUAUCUAGCCUAUCACUCCUACUGUCCUGAUAGUAUCAGAGAGCACUGAAGCUCAAGAAGGGGAUUGUUUGCUGAAUUCUCCCUGUCUUUUGCCCUUGAACUGCUGGAGCUGCAUUUCAUAGGAUUUUGCAAUCAGAGGAACUCUGGGAGUUAUUGGCAUCAUGGUUGCCCCACUGCCUUGAAGUGAGGGUGGAGAGUGGAGAAGUGUAUCAUGAAGAUGAAAGAAAUUUGCAAAGAUUUUUGGGUUUCUGGAAUUCAAGUCUGUGGAGGAGAUCAGCUGCUGGUGUCUGUUGUGGGAAGGUAUAAGAGAGAAUGGAGACCCUUUGCAUGAGCCAUUGUCAGCUAAAAUCAGUGAUGAAAGUCCUAUUGAAAAGAGCCUCUGGAUCAAAUCAAAACCUGUUUUCCUGAGAGUGACAUUGCCUGCAAAUGGAGGCAGAUUGAGGUUCCUAACUGGCCAGUGCUUUGGACACAUUCUGCUUACUUCAGUCACACGAAAUGACGUAUUGAUGCAAGUUUCCAGGAUCCAAACAGGCAGCCCUUUCAUAGGCAAAAGCCCUAAUGAAGUCACUGGCAGGCAGCCUCGCUGGCCUAAGGCCUGCAGGCUAUUUCCCUAGUCAAUACACUGGACCUAAUCUUAUACCCCUUGAGCAUCAAACUCCAUGUGUAUUUUCUGCAAGUAUUUGUUCUCUUUCUGCAGAAGUGCAAGAUUUGUGUGCUGUGGAGUGCGGUGUCAGUGAGCAGCUGCUUCUCCUUCAGCAUGAGUUGUUCAGCACACAGACUUCAUUGGCUACUGGUGGGACAAAACCACGCUGCAAAGCAGAGGCGAGGAGCAGCGAGGACCUAGGCUGCCAAAUACAAACCUCCUGCUUUAGUUUGUGUCUGGGAACAAAGCAAAACAAAAGUAUUAAAGCAAAAGAACGUUCUAAAAGGCUUCAGCAAAUAUUAAGAAAAUAUGUAUUUUUACCUGGUAAUCUGACUUCUUCUAAUUUAGUGGAACAUGUAAACUCCUCUGGUUAAGUCAAAUGCAAUCAGUGGAGCUGAUUUACAAUGAGUUAAGAGUUACCUUGCAAAAUGGAUUUCAUUAGCUCUUUGUAAGCUUAGUCCUUCUGCUUUCUGAUCAGUCAGCUGGAAUUAUUUUUCCCAUUCCUAGCAGUGUUAAGAAAUAUAGAUUGGAAUGGCAGCUUCAUAUAUUACCUUGGUUAAAAGUUUUCAUAAAAUGCUAAGUUAAAAUGGUAAAAAUCAUAAGGAUAUUUCCAUAAGAAUGCUUUGUUUCAGGCAAGGAAUUUGUAUUUGUUCUUUCUUUCUGGAAUUUUUUAUUAAAGAGUUUCCCAUGAGCAAAUUUUGUAAUGCAAUGCCCAAUAAAAUUAAAAAGCAUCUUUUAGAACUGAAAAAUUACUAUCUCCUCCACACAUCUCAGAAAAUUAUAGAUUUAUUAAAAUUCUUCUCAGAUUUUUUUUUCUUACAAGUUUUGUACAUCUUCUGCAAUGCACCUGUAGGCAGGUGCCCAGAAGGAGCCAAGAAAGCAGCUUCUGUGUGUAGUGGAUGGAUUAGGGCUGAACUGCUGAACUGGAUGGCAACAACUUGGCCUGGAAGUAAAAGAGGAGGGAGUGAAGGUAAUCCAGAUUACCAAUUAAUUGUGUGUCCUCCCUGUUACCAGAUCCCUGUCACUUGGUAGGGUAAAUGCUCACAGUUCAUGCAAAACCACCCUGACAGGCUCUGCCUCUAGCUGUGCUAGAUCAGAUCCAAACCCACAGGCAGGCUCUCAGCUCAAAUAUAUCUGAAAAUGUGGGCCUUAAAUAUUUAUCUUUCUCUGGGACUGACUUCCUUUGACAGCCUGCAUCCAUGUUGUCAUCAUGCUUGGUGUGCUAUAAAUACAUCCAUGAUCCAAUCAACUAAUACCAGGUCCUUAUCACAACAAGCUCACGCACCUCACCGUGUGCUCAAGGAGUUAUCUUUCUAUCUGCUUUUUAAAGAUGAAACUAAUCCAUUGUAAGCCCCGUAACAAGGAGCCACUCGCAGGGUAAAAGUAUAAGUGCAGUUUUUAAAUGGUAUUGUAUUUGUCUCACGAUGCUUGCCAUUAAAGACACAGGUAUGAAAAGAUGCUCUCUGUUUUUAUGCAGCACUGCUGUGGAGAUAGAGUACUAUUUUCCUUGUGGUUGCCAAAGGAGUUGUGCAUGGUUUAAUUAGAAUGUAUUAUGAUCCUAAGGCUUUUUCUUUUUUAAAGUAAAGUCAAGUAUCCUACCGAAGACAUGGGACAUUCAUACACCCAAAUCUGUGUCAGCAUCCUGCUUGGCAGUAAGAGCUUUUGCAGAAACAUCUGAUUGCAGAGUCAGAAUUCAACAAAGCAAGAAGAAACAGGCUGAAGAGCAACUACCUAAGUACAUGCAGUAACACAGAGAGUGGAAGCGGAACUGAGAGAACAAUAAAUGAAGAAACAAUGAAAAGGUCAAGCACUUAUUCAGGAUUUGUGAGUACAGAUAUUGCAGUUCAAACAGUGCAGGUGAAAAAUGAAAUUCUGUCUCUUCACAAAUAUUUCUUUUCCUCCAUAUUUCUGUUUUCCAGCUCUUGAAUAUCACCAAGGGAAAUCUUACUUAUAGAUAG